rnacentral:tRNA from 1 species
GGCCCCGUAGCUCAGCAUGGAAGAGCGGCGGCCUUCGGAGCCGUAGGUCGUGGGUUCGAAUCCCACCGGGGCCGCCA